GACGAACGCUGGCGGCGUGCUUAACACAUGCAAGUCGAACGGUGAUGCUCCAGCUUGCUGGAGUGGAUCAGUGGCGAACGGGUGAGUAACACGUGAGCAACCUGCCCCAGACUCUGGAAUAAGCGCUGGAAGCGGCGUCUAAUACUGGAUACGAAACUGGCCCGCAUGGGCAUGGUUUGGAAAGUUUUUCGGUUUGGGAUGGGCCCGCGGCCUAUCAGCUUGUUGGUGAGGUAAUGGCUCACCAAGGCGACGACGGGUAGCCGGCCUGAGAGGGCGACCGACCACACUGGGACUGAGACACGGCCCAGACUCCUACGGGAGGCAGCAGUGGGGAAUAUUGCACAAUGGGCGAAAGCCUGAUGCAGCGACGCCGCGUGAGGGAUGACGGCCUUCGGGUUGUAAACCUCUUUCAGCAGGGAAGAAGCGAAAGUGACGGUACCUGCAGAAGAAGCACCGGCUAACUACGU
rnacentral:rRNA from 1 species